UGACUACUAUAUGGCUCAAGACAACUGAGAAUGGCACUCAGAUCCUUGCCUUUGAAAGCCACCCUGAAAGGAGAUGAACCUCACCAGCAUGCUCCUCUUUGCGACUUGUGAAGCUCCUCAGACCAGUGCCAGCAGAGGGCAAUACCACACAGGCAAAGCUUUUGUGGUGGUAAGGUAUAAGAAAUGCAAAGUAUUUUUCUUGUUCCACCCCAAAGCGUAAGUCUUUCCACUUCCAAAUUAAGAAAGUUCUCAAGGAUUACAAAGAAAUUUGAAAACAGGGAUGAUCUUAAAGGAAUAUAACAGUUGUUUAUUGCCUUGUUCUGUAUUUACCUGCUGAAUUAGGAAGGAUCUGAAAUACUAUCCAAGAACCACGUCAGGACAGUGAUAUAAUGAUUUCUCCCCCCACCUCCUCCCGGCAACUAAAGUGUGUUACAUUUUUGUAGGGGUAAAACACUUUGAAAAUUAGCAGUGAUCUGAUUUUAUGUGCCCUGUUUGUAGAAGGAGAGAGAUUUUAUCCUCUUUGGCUAUCCAGGAUUUUAAUUUUAAUGUUUAUUUUUUAACUUUGCCCUGAAUAGAUUAAAAACAUGUUUCUCUCAGCAAACAGUACUGGAAUCCAAGGCACUUCUCCAACCUAAAUGGUCACGACUUGCUCCCCACGUAUGACUUGCACACUAUUUGUAGGGCAUACCUGUUUCCAUUCCCCACAUGGUGCAGACGGGAUGGCAGAGUGAGCCAAAGGACUGUAGGGACUAUGAUGUCCAGAGUGGCCAUUAAAAAGGAAAAGUGGGGUCUUUUCCCUUUUGCGAAGUUAAUCUCUGUCCUAGUGAUGAAGGCUAGAAAUCAGAUAAUCAGCUAAGCCUUUUGUACAACUUUCUAAGGCAAGGGAGUUGGGAGGUAAAAUUAACACAUAUACCUAAUGUACACCUGAAGGACCACCACUACCAAGGAAAACUGUCAAGUGUGACCUUUCAUUUUACAUACUGGUACCAAUACUAGGAAUAAGAGGUGUACUGUUAGGUGUCAUGAUGCUUGUUCACAUGACUCCUUUAUUGGUUUAAUUCUGUUACUACCACUAGUGCAGUGCAGACCUGCUAGUAUGAAUUAAAGAUGCUGACACCUGAGAGAGCAGGGUCACCCAGGACCGGUCUAACUACAUUCAUGUUGUGAAGAACCAACAGUUGCCAUAAUUUAACCUGUACAAAAACUAUGCAGAAGCCAAGUCUGGCUCCUCAUGACAGACAUGAUUUUGCAAAUUAGAGUUUCAGUCUCUUUCUGGUUUCUAUUAUCUGUUCUCAAGGACAGCUAUUUCAUUUCCCUGAUGUGUUUCUUGCCCAUACUUCUGCAGUACUGUUUUUGCAGCCACUUGAAGUGCUAAGUUUCAGCUCCUCUUCCAGGAGUGCCUGCUCGCAGUAAAGGAAGGGCUAACAGAGGCAAACACGCACCUCUGGAAGAAAAGCAAGUUUUGAAGCAUUCAGCAGCAUCCAUGCCAAAGAUCUGUCUCCUUACAUCUACAGCCUACUAAGGAGCCUACUCCUUACAUUAAAGUUUUUAAUCUGUUAUUAUUAGUUUUAAUGUAAAAAGAAAAAAUACUGUUUUUUAGUCAGGUGCUAUAUAGAAAAGGCCCUGCACAACCCCAGUUCCACUGCAGACUGCUGUAGGAAAAAGACAAGCUUUAAUAGUUCCCCCUUCUCCCCAGUCUAUGGCAAAUACAAUGGGCUGUUGCACAAGCGGGGAGAGGAAUCCACUUCCAAAACAAGAAUUUACAAAAACAACUUUCUUUUCUUGCUUUAGGUUGUUGUAAUGUCACCCUGCUGAGAUAGUUUGGUGGGAAUCCAAAUUUUAAAAUGUUUGCUGCUUUUUGGAUGGCGUAUCAUUUCUUUAUACUGCAACGCUUUUCUCUGGGGGAAGAAACACAAAGUAUCUACCCGGCAGGAAGAAACUGUGAUUUCACAAGUCUGUUAGUGUCUCUGAAUUUAAGAUCAUGCUUUUCUCCCACUGUUACUUAAAAAUUCCAACAGGAAAACCCCGUUCGAGUUUGAAAUCUGAAGAGCAAUACCUCUGUUCAUAAUUUGGCAAUCAAUUUGUUCUGGCACUGAUGCAAUCAGCUGAAGACCUGACCCUCCCUGUGCCACAUGGAGGUUCCCAGGAAAGGUAACUCUGGGGAAAUGUGCCCGGUGAACCUCACAGCAUUAUGGGCUGGACUGACUAACGGGCUGACACACAUGGAGAGAGAGCUCAGCUGCUGGGAAGUGAGGCAGGGAUGGAUGGGUGAGCACGAGGACCCCAGGAGAGGAAGGCUCGACAGGCUGGUGAGGCGGAUCUUUUCAUUUUGGGGCCGCUGGCUCCCUGUGAUCCAUAGCUGCCUUGGCAGCAGUCUGAUUUAUACUCACAUUGUAAUGCUUCCCAGCUCUCCAACAAGUCAGGCAAAGAAAACACUACAGCCCCAACCUCCUCCUGUUUUACCAGGACAUCCCCAUAGCAGGGGUUUUCAGGUAAGGACAACCCAGGGACCCCUUAUAGACUAAACUGUUCAAGACUGCCACUUUCUUCCUGGUGUAUUCUUUGGAGAGGGCUGCCAGAUCUUUAAAUAUUUAACUGAUGUAGGAGAACAUUUUCAAUAAAUGGAGAAAAGAGUCAGGGUUGUUGAUAAAAAGCAGACAAAAUACUGCUCUAGACAGCCAACAUUACUUCAUCUUUACUCACCAGUAUCAGUCCCUAAACUGUUAGGAUUCUUCUAUUUGCUCCUCAGCUGGUAAUUUCAUGAAGAAUCAUAAAGGCUCAUUGCUAUGAUGCUUACCUCUCUCAUGGACUUGUACUCCAUAUUAGUCAUGUGUUCUGUAUUCCAAAAAAAAAUAAAUUACGUAAAGUUUUUCUAUUGCUAAUGUCUAACCCCUAACAGUACUCGGCACAUUGGGAUUCUUUGUCCUUGUAUGACUUCCAUUGCUGACAAUGUCUUGCUCGUAUCUCUGACCUUUGGCCAUGAAAUUAUUGCAACAAGUCACAUUCAGACAGCACACACAGGCAGUGAGCCUCUAAAGCCAAACUGAAAGCAUCAGCUGCUUCCUCUGCUGCUUUCACAGCUGGUCAGGCCCAAGGUCCUGCAGUGAGCUUUCAGACCUCGUCAAGACCAGGAAUUAAGCACACAGCUAAGGCUCCUUUUUCACAUAACACUACUCAGGGAUAAGCCAAGUCUCACUCAUGACUCAAAUGAGUAACGGUGCCAGAACUGGGCAACUGAACUGUCUAAAGACUAAACUUCCUAGCUUAAAAGAUGCAGACACUAUCAUCAGUUCUGGAAUCACUUUGCAAAACGCAUUCCAACAUGCCAACUACAAUUAUCUGUAGUCGAUAACAGAUUACUGAAAAAUAAACAGGAUCAUUUCCCCACUUACCUGUGUGCAGAACAUUGUUUUGUGUGCAUUUCAGGCAGUUUAUCCUGUUUAAAGGUGGAUGUCUAUUUUAUUUUAUAGAAUCAUUUCUUAAGGCAGGUGAAUUAUCACCCAGUAAAGAGUAUGUGGUUUUAACACUGCUAUAUAAAGACAGAAAGACAGUCCUCAAAGACAAGUGCUCUUAGUUUGAUGAAUUUCCUUCAGAACUGAAAACAACUGUUUUACAGUUUAUUAAUUAGAAGCAGAAACGAGACUGAAUGUUAAUGUAAGGUUUUGUGCAUAUACCUAUUCAUCCAUGAUGAUCUGCUUUUAUACUAGAUAGAGACAAAAGUUAUCCGUUACUGCAAAUAGGAUUUCCAGUGUGGCUCAUUUUCUGCUCAGGUACCACUGCCUUGAGACCCACCUGCCACAACUAACAACUUGGUUUACUAUAAACCAAGUCCAAGGCCUGUUCUUGCAUGUAAAAAUAUCAACUAUUUACUUGACUGGCUGCAACUUGGAUUUACAUCUGUCCAUAAGUCACAUACUCUGAAAUAUAUGGGUAGAGAAAUGUCAAAAUGUUAGAACAAACUAAUUACUGUUCUCUGUAAUCCUGAAUGUUGAUGUCCCAUGCCCUAGUUUUAAUUCUGAUAGCUAGUGGUGGAGAAGCAUGAAGGAAUGGCUGAUGAGGACAAAUACAAGGAUAGUUUUCUCCCCUGUAUGGUAGCCUACCUUCUUCCAUAUACGUCUAUCUGAUGGCCUCCAGGCCAACCAAUCUGUCCUUCAAAACCUCUGCUAACAGCUGUCCCAGUUAAAAAAAUCCCUUCUUCCUUGCCAUGCACCAGAACACCAAGUGUCAUGACAGUAGGUGUUCAGAAAUAACCUUUUUCAAAGGGCUUAUUAAAUAAACAUACGCUGUUCUCUUUACUGCAAUAAGGGAGAGCGGUUAGAGGAAGAAGUGAAAAAUGCUUGUAUCAAUCCUGCUGUUAACAGCAGAAUUACGAAAUGUUGCUUUAGACACUUUUUGACAGACACCAAAUAAAACAAAUAGCUACGGUUUAAGCUACAGCUCAAUCCCAUUUUAUGUGGUAGUCUAAAUUUCAGUGAAGCCAAGUCUAGCACACCUGUAUAAAUACAUACAUAGGCAGUUUUUAAUUUCUGAUCUAAAAUGGUGUUGUAUCACAGUUUUCUGUUAACAUGUUACCAUGUCCCAUUUUGAGGCAUGUGAGAGGGACAAAUUGCUCUCAUUCUCAGUUAAGCACUUUCACAUCAAUUCAUUAAUAUUAUUAAAGUCCAAGUUUCUCUGUUUUCAGACUGGGGAAGCACAGGACAUUAAAGAGGGCACAGGAACAAGGCCCUGAAAACCCAGCUCAGUUUACAUCUUCCCCAUGGGAAUUUUUGAGAGUGGGCACUCCAUCUCUUCCUAUCUCUGUCCCCCCAGUUUAACAUUUGGAUAACAAUAUUGGUCCCCUUCUGUAGUGCAUUUUGAAACCGACUUACAGAAACUGCCCUAUAAGCAUUAUGCAUUUUUUAAACUAUGUAAUUGUACUUGAAUAUUUGUUGAAGUGUCUCCUGCUGAGCCAGGACACUGAGUCAGUCCCAAGCUUGUAAAAAACAUUUGUAGCUGACUGGGAAAAAACUUUGUAUAGAAAUACAAACCCCUUAUAAUUAGCAUGCUGAAAGCCAAUGACAGCCUUAUUAUGUUUUAUUGCUAGUGAUUAUUAGUGCACUGAGAAAACAAACACAUAUCUCUAUUCAAGAAACUGUCAUGCUUAAUAGUCAGUCUUCACAAAUCUAUUUCAAAAUAAGCAAAAGACAAUCAAUUGUAUUUGAAGCACAUGAAGUUUGUUCAUACUCUUGGCAAAAAAGGAUUACAGUAUAUUUCAGAGAUUUUAAAAACAGAAAUGUACUUCUGCCUGCUAUCAAACCUACAAAGGAAAGUAAUAAAUAGCAAGCUGAAAAUACAUUCAGAAGUGGGUGAAAGUUCAAUGGUCACAUUUAGAGAAAUGUUAAACCAUUUGGUCUGGCAAUAGCUGUAGAUGAAGAAAGGGGAAGCUGAGCUCUGCUAAAGCACAUACACUUUAAUUUCUAUACACAGACAGAAGUUGUCUAAUAACAAAAUAGCCAAGCUUAAUUUUUACAACCUUAGCUGCAGUUCACACAAUUCCUUCUUAAUGGCAGUCAUUUAUUGGUGACUUUGUGCUGUCCUUCAGCGUUGGAAAGGCUUUUCAACACUUGGAAAGCACCUUCUCUUUCUCUCUGGAAACAAAUCUCUGUUGUGUGAUUUAGGGCACCGCUAAUGCCUCACUUCUGUUACGCUUCUCUGUGUAAAACUCAAUUGUUCCUUCAGUUGCUUUGUAAGCCGCAUUACAGAAACUGUUACUUGUUUGGUACUAUAGAACUAUGUAUUUCUUAGGCCAGAUAUGUAAACAACUAAAAAAUUGCCACUUUCCCCUAACACAAACUUCCCCACCCCAGAAUGCCGGAACAGAUGUGGGCACCUCAGACCUGCUUGCCAGCUACCUCCAGCUGCCACCUGUCAGGCUUUGUUCUGCUAGAUCCUCUUGGGAUUAUAACUUCUAGAAUAUCCCAAAACAGAUACCAGCCUCCAAGCUAGAGGCACCUGAAUUCAUCUGAUGAUGCCAACAUAUCACAUAAAAAAACUGAAUGUCUACAUAUGCCAAUGGCAAUAUACCUAGUCAGUCAUAUGAUUCUUCUAAAGAUAGGUCUCCUUCAGCUAGAGGUUAUAGCCUUGAUUUAGGUGCUCUUGGAUGAGCUGUGACAGGAAGUUUUACAGACAGCAUGCUUUGGGGGCAUCAUGCCUCUUCUAUCCAUACUUACCAAUGAAUUUGGUCAAGCUUAGUGCUUGUUAUUCAGUUAGUUGAGUUAAAAACAUGGACGAAGUGAAAGUCAAGCCAUAGAUUUUACUGAUGAAUGAAGCUGUUGUAGGCCAUAUCUGCAUAAUUUUCAUAGCAGAUAUAUGGGAAGGUAUGCAAGCAAACAGGUUUUAUCUUGUACAAGCAAACAGGUUUAAUUAUUUCAUCCUAAAGAUAAUGCAUUGAUUCAGUGAUACAUUUGGACCAUGAGAAGAUGAGUGGUCUUUCUAGUCCCGGACUCUGUCUCCAACAGUGACAACCAGAGAAGUUAUUGAGGCAGAAUACACAAGUCUGGACAAUGUGUGGUCCACUCUCCACAUGCUUCCCAGCAUCCACAAUUAUUGCAUUAGGAACAUAGAAGGUACAUUUCCACCUAAUCCUUUUGGUAUCCAUUUACGGGCCCUCUGUUUACUAACUCAAUCUUUUUUGAAUAUGCUGAUGUUCUCAUCCACUCAGAGUACUGGGUUUUGUACAUUUCGUAACAAAUUUAGUAAACUGAACUGCUGGUAAGAAAUCAAAAAAAUCUCAACAACCCAAAUAAGCAAGCAAAAAAAAAAGA